GUGUCAGCAGCCGCGGUAACACCGGCGCCCCGAGUGGCAAUCGCGAUUAUUGGGCCUAAAGCGUCCGUAGCCGGACAGGUAAAUCCUCUGUGAAAUCGUUGCGCUUAACGUAACGGCGCGCAGGGGACACUGCCUGUCUCGAGACCGGGAGGAGUCAGAGGUAUGCCGUGGGGACUGGUAAAAUGGUAUAAUCCACGGUAGACCACCAAUGGCGAAGGCAUCUGACCAGAACGGAUCUGACGGUGAGGGACGAAAGCCAGGGGAGCGAACCGGAUUAGAUACCCUUGUAGUCC
rnacentral:rRNA from 1 species